rnacentral:sRNA from 1 species
GUUCUCCCAAAGCUGCGUGCUCGGUCGAAGAGGACGGCCUUCCCCGAAUAGAGGAGGACCGGUCUUCGGUCAAGGGUAUAUGAGUAGCUGCUCUCCCUUGCUAGAACCUCCAAACAAGCUCUCAAAGUUACAGUCUUAAGAGCCAGAGAUGGC